UUCUGCCGGACAGGCGAGUAACGUUAGCUUCGCUGUUCCACGUAAACGCCAGCUUCAGCGUUACCGUCUGUUGUCAUGGUCGUGAUGAUCCCGGCUGGUUAGCGUUGUUAGCUUAGCCCCGGGUGAACGGAGAGAAACGGGUCAGCUCCGUGUUCAGCAGUAAAUGUACAGUAGAAGCUCCAGAGGCCGGUGAAGAAAGACUGCAGCUCCUCCGGACUAAAGAGGAGCUCCUGUGUGCUGCUGCCAACUGUUGAAUAAAGAGUGAAGGAGUUUGGCCCCAAAGUUAGCACUGACUUCGGCCCUGGAGGACGUGUCGGGGGCUAGCUGGUUAGCAACACAAUACACAGACAUCUUUGACACGAGUUAUCCAUUAAAGCCGCUUCGACUUCGACUGACGCAUCGCGCCCCAGGCUCCAGAGGCGGCUGUGACAGCAUCUGACAGCGGGAUGAGAGGCAGGUACACUGGGCAGCGUGUGAUUGGCGCUGCGUUAAGAGACUGCUCCUGGCUGUGAUUGGUUGUUUUGAUUCUUGCAGAUGCUUUCAGGAGCAGUAGGAGGAGGAGCCAGAGGAACCGGUUUAUCUGUCUCAUGUUCUGCCGUCAGGAUACAGUGACAGUUUCAGCAAAUAUGUUAUUUUUGUAAAAGAAUUCCCUGCUGCUGCUUUAACAUAAUAAUGAAAUGCUAAAAGGGCAUCGACUAUUUUUACUUUUAAUACUUUCAAGUACAUUUUCCUGAUCAUACUUAAAUACUUUUACUCUCUCCAGCACUGGUGAACAUAGGUGUCAUUUACACUGGGGACCACUUUUUGAAAGCUUUUGCUAAAAGGUUUUCUGAAAAUUAGCUUGCAACACAAAAUGUUAAAUAGCAAGUACAAAUUCUAUGAGAAAGGUUUACUUGCACAAUAGGAAAACAUCCCAUAAAUUGGUGCAGAAAAUGUCUCCAGAACGCAGGAAAUCGAGAGUUUAAUGCUCACAAUCUUGGGAGUAUCUACCUCAAUAUUGUGCUUUCUCACGUUUCGUGGCCUAAGUGUUUAAUCACACCCCUCAUAUGAGCCCUUAAAUGUCCCCAACACCUUUCAACACAAAGUGACGCCCUUGCUCGUGAGUAGUACUGACCAAACCGUGGCUGGUUUCUGUUUUCCAGAACGUUGCUGAGGUACGGAGACACGACGAUCUCCACCAGACGUUCCAACUGCACCAGCAGCAUCUGUGUGACAGGUGGAGGGACGGACGCUGCAGUUCCCAGAGUUUCCUCCAGGUGGAGCUUCAGCAGCACCAGGUCUCUGAAGGCCACCAGAGCCAUCUGCCUCACCGUCAGCUCCUGACCCUGAACACACAGGUGCAUUUACAUCACUUCUGGGGACAUUACACUGACACGCAUUCAUUUCCUGGAUACCUAAACCUACGCCUGACCCAAGUCUUCACUCUGAAAUGUAAUGUUUUUUAUUUUAUGUUUGCAUUUUGGCCCCAUGACGUUGGUUGUGCGGCGGUGUUGGGGGCGUGUUUAUUUGUGCUUAAGACCUUAACCGCUGUGAAACACUCAGAAAAUAAAGUUUUAUUUCUCA